GGAUAGUGCCAUUUUAAUGGCAUAUUUUUAACAUGUUUUAUAAUAUUUGUUGAUAGGUGCAAUCUUCAGUUUUUUUUCAUAGUUUGAGAAUAGUGUUGUUGCACAGUUCUUGCUUGUUUUAAUGAGUAUUUUAAUGGAUCGGUGGUCUUUCUUUAUUAAGUUCUUUUUAAUAUUUUUAACCGGGAGAAAAACGAUGGUACAUAGCGGAUAUAAAUAAAUAAAGUUAUUCUUUCAUGAUUGUUAAUACAUCCUUAACCCAUGCACAUACAUCAGUUAUAUUUACACAUAAUGAACUAGGCUGAGACAAAGGGGGAACCCAGGCUGAUUGGUCAGUAUUUCCUGAAAUACAGAUAUUAUGUCGUAGUUGUACAACUUUGUCUCCAAGGCUUGUUCUCGCUGUCCUAAAUUAUCAUCAAGACGAAAAAAGCUAGAGUCGAAGUUGCCAUAUAAAAAGUAAUACGGGAUUUAUUAUUGUCGUAUUAAUAAUAAUACGGCAUUUAUUAUCCCGUGUUAGUUAGAGUACCGGUUCUUAUUUUGUCGCAUCCAUAUGAAUACGGAUUUCAUUAUGCGGUAUAAGUGAAAAUACGGAAUUGGGUAUCCCGUAUUUGUGAGAAAGCGUGUAGUCCCUUAACUUCUGUAUGCAUUAGGAUAUGCUCGUAUACGCCAGUAUUCACAUUUGCUUUAAUACGGGAAAAUAGUCACUUCCUUAUUUUCAGAGUCCCAAUACGUGAUACACGGUAAUCCACGUAGUGAAUUUUUUUUUCUCCGCGUGGUAAAUUCAUGAUGGCGGCGACGAACUUAUGAGUUUUACUGUGCUAAAAAAAAAAAAUCUUUUUUUAAGCCUUUGCGAUAGAGAUCUCUGUCAGAAUACAUUUUAUUUUAAUAGGGUAGGCCUUGGACCAUUUACAAAAUCAAAAUUGACUUGUUGGAUCGCAUGCUUUCUUCUUGUAUAGCAGCAAAAAAGGGGUGUGUGUUUUGACUAUCUAGAAUUGGCUGCUAAUUAAAGAAGACGAUUUCUCCUUCUGUACGCAAAGUUAUGCUUCAAAAAUUACAUUUUCUUAAAGGUGAUGGAUUGUUGUACCAGACUGCAUUUAAGGACGUAACUUCUGGGCAUUGGGGUUGAUCCUUGUGAGGUGCUCUCGAAGCAUGGCCUCGACACGUCUGCUUGCUGGCUUCAUGUGUUGAUCAUGUUUUGUUGUGUAGCUGGCAAUAAACAAACAUCCAACAGGUAUAUUUA